UAAAAUAUACACAUUUUACUCUUUCUUCCUUAUCUCUCUCUACUGACCAAAACUCAAGCUCUACUUUAAUGGCUUCCCUGUCUCUUCUCGUUUCUUCCUCCUUAAAUUCACAUAUUUAUUAUGGUAUCAAAGCUUUGGGUUGUGUUGUGAUCUGGGCCAAUAUCAUGGACAACUCAAAUUAGAAAUAACCAUUGAGGUUAAUUUUUUAUACCCGGUUUUUCGACCUUGAGGCUGAUUUUUUUUCAUUCUCAUCCAUAUUUUCGAACUCCCUUGCCUUCUCUCUCUAACUUUCCCAUUUUCCUUGAAACCCUAACCUUCAAACUCAUCAAAACCCAUCAAAUCUCACUCAAAUUUCUUCAUUAUACCAUCACAAAACAUCAAAUUCAUUACUUCACAUUCUCCAUCAACAAAGGUCCGAAUUUUUCGUGGUUUUUCAUGGGUAAAUCUUGAAGCUUGCAUGGGAUUCUGGUUCAUGAGGCUAGUUAGAGUUGAUUUUGGGUAUAAUUUAUUGGUAUAAUCACCUCAUCUCUAGUUUUAUUUGAAUUUAGAGCAUUGCUUUGGUGAUUAAAUUUGUUAUAUAUGUGGAUUUACUUGGUGAACUUUGAUGUGUGAAUGGUAGUUUGUGUUAAAAUUUGUUGAUUAUUCUUGGUUAAUUGUUGUUUGUUGGUUGAAAUUUGUGAUUGUUGGUGGUUUGUCUUGAUUGAUUUGUGUUGUUUGGUGGAUUGUGGAGUGUGUGAAUUGUGAAAGUUUGGUGUAGUAAGCGGGAUUGUUGCUUGCUAUUGGAGUUGUGCUAUUUGAGUCUUGGUGAUUGUGAAUAUGGUGGGUAGUUCUAAGAAGAGAAAGAGUGGGAAGGGGCUUUAACGAUUCUCUUCUCAAACCCCUCAAAACACCGAACAACCACCACCACCUUUGCCACCACUCAAAUUCAAUAACAAACACCACAAGCCCAUACAUGAAAACUUGCUAUCCCAAAAAAUCCUACCCACCAAGCUAAGAACUACCACAAAGCCACAACAAUUAAGCUUGCCAUAGAUGAUUAGAUGAGGAUUGUUGGUUCUUAUUCAACAAUUUAAGGUUGGGUUCCUCUAUGAAUAAAGCAUAGCGAACCUAUAGAGAGCCUACCCUUAAAUUUCUAGCCUUUUUUGAAUGUCAUGCCACUAGGGAUGGCAAUGGAUCUAGACCCGACCCGGAUCCGUGGAUCUAGAUCCGUUUUUCACGGAUCCGGGUCUUCAAAUUUUGGACCCGACGGAUCCGGGUCCCGCUGACAAAAACGGAUCUGGAUCUGGGUCUGGGCCCUAGACCCGGAUCCAGAUUCGUGGACCCUUUUAUUUUUUUUUAUUUUUCCUAUUAAAAAAAAACUAAAAUUGUUUGUUUCUUUAUUAAAAAUGUUGAUAAUGUUAGUAAUAAUAAAGAUUAACCCUUUCAAGAGAAAGAAUUUUGGAUGCUUAUAUUAUAUAUAUCAUCGUUAUUUUUUCACUAGCUUAUAUUUAACAUCGUAUUUUUUUUUGUUGUUUAUAAUUUUAAUUCAAAAUAUGAGUGUAUAAGUUGGUUAAUUUGGGGUUGAACUUAAUAACUAACAACGUAAGUUUGAAAUAAAUUUUUUGACCCGAGCAUUACAUUUAUUACAAAAAAUUAGGCAAAAUAUAUUGGACCCGUUUUGGACCCGGAUUCAGACCCGGAUCCGUUGGACCCGACGGAUCCGGAUCCGGGUCUUCAUUUUCUAGACCCGACGGAUCCGGGUCGGAUCUGGAUCCUAUAUACUAAAACGGAUCUGGAUCUGGGUCCAUCCGGACCCGGUCUAGAUCCGACCCGUUGCCAUCCCUAUAUGCCACUAGUGACAAAGACCUUGCCAUCUCCUUCCAACUUUUCAACAAGAAAGAAACCAUGAAUCUUCGUCAAUUCAAUCAACACCUCAAUAUUAACCUCGAUGCCAAUCUUUUCUUUCCCGAACAUGAAGGUUUACAUGACUAUAACCCCUUACAUAUUGGAAUUGCAUCUCAAGAAUGGAUAACUUCAAUGCUAAGUAAUCCUUAGUUUGUCAAAUCAAGCACCCUGUCCUUUGACUUUUACACUGAAUUCUUGGGUAUAUGGUUUUCAAUAAGCAAGACUUUUUUUUACAGCAGAGAAAAAGGGACUUAAUCCCCACAUUUGCUAAUACUAGACACUGAAAUAAAGGAAUAAGGUUUUGGAUAUUGUUGAGCAGAUGUCAGGUAUGAUAUGCCCCUGCUAAGUCACCCUGCACCCAUUUGGCCAGCCUGAUGUCUGGAGCAAAAAAUUUUAAGUGCCACUGCCGCUUAUCCAAAGCCAUUCUGAUUCCUUCCAACAUCGAACCAACCAUGUUGCUCACUCUAUCAAUAGCAUGCUGCGAAGCCUCUCCCUGGUACACAGUGCCAUCAGUACAUGGCACUACUAGAAAUAGGCUAAAUAGCGACGAAUGGCUUCUGACGGACAUUAUUUUCCUCGCAAAGUUUAAAAAUUCCGACGGAAUUUGUUUCGUCGCAAUUUAUUGACGGAUUUCACUUGUUCCGACGAAUUUUCUGUUGUAAUUAUUUCGACGGAAAUAUAUUCCGUCGUAAUUUCCAUCUUCCAUGAAAUUUUCCGUCGAAAAUAGCUUUGCGACGGAAAUUUUCGUCGAAACAUAACAAUUACGACGGAAUACUUUCUGUCGGAAAAUAUCAGAUUUUUUAAAAAAGAGACCCAAAUUAAUUUAACCUAAAAAAAGAAGGGGAAAGAACGGGGAAAUUAGGGAUCGCACACAGAAGAAAGAGAAGGAGUCGGAAAGAGAAAAGGGGACCACCGUCGCCGACGAAGACGCAAACGCCGCCGACAAUGUAAGAGAGAAAGAGGACGAGAAGGAGGAAGAGAAAGACAACGACGGGAGCUUGAUAUCCCUAACCACCACAACGCAUCUGCUCCUUGUUUUCCGUCAAGCCUCCCUUGACGCUACAAGUUGUUGCCGGCGCCGCGUUUAGAUCAGUUACAACCAUUGUUUUUUUGGUUUUCAUUUUUUUUAAAAAAAUUCCAUUCAAAUCUGACUUACCCCUGACCACCACAACCGCAGCCUCCGGCCUCCUCCCUUCCCUUGCCAUGGCUAAAUCACAUGAGGAAGGCAGUUAGAAGAAAAUUCUGGAUUUGUACAAUUAGAUGGUUUAAUUGUCAAAAAGAAGUGAAGAUCUAAAGGUGGUCAUGGCGGGAGGAAAUAAAGGAGAAACGUCCAAGAGGAGAAAGACUAAGGGGAAAUCUCAGGUUAUACGUGAUGAUGAGGACGAGUCAAUGGAGGAAGAGGAGGCACACGAUUUGGGGGCGUCUCAAGAAAUCAUCACUUGGAGACAGAUUCAAACACAUGUAUAGGAGCAACAGGAGCAACAUGACCCACAACCUAAUGACUUGCCGGAGUUAGACCCUUCCACACUUUGGUGCGUUUUGUUCACUUUUUGUUGAUUAUAUACUUUCCUGAAUAUCUAUCCUUUAUUAUAGGUUUGAUGAUAAGCCGAUGUGGAAUAUGCUCUCUAACACGCUAACCGGCUACUAUCGAGAGCCUUGGAAGAAUUACGGAGAGGUUGAUGAAAAAACAAAAGAACACUUUUGGAACUUGUUCAGCAAAAAAUUCAAGGGGGCAUGCACCUGAGUUAAACGAGCAUGUGAAGCAAACUUUUGAAUUCAAGUUUGCAAAUCGCCUACGUGACAUGUUCUACCAGAUCACAAAGAGGAUGAAUGGUGUCAAACCAAAAUGGCUUAAUGAAGAUGUCCACGAAGCUAUGAUGGAAAUUGUUGCCAAUGAUCCAAUAUAUAAGAAGCGGUCAGAACAAAACAAGAAGAACAGAAGAGGCGGAUCCAUGGAAAAUGUCGUUGAAUCGACCCACUUUCAAGGUUUUAUGUCAGCUGUACAACAUGCUAAAAGGAUGGCGGAAAAAAAACCAAGGCCAAUUACCAAAUGCCCCUGAUCUUUUCUUGAAGACACACUUCAAGGAAGUGCCUGGGAAAGGACAAGUGGCUGCCAACACCAAAGCCAAAAGGAUUGCGACCUACCAGAAGAAGCUCGAAGAAGCAAGGAGUCAGGGGAUUCAGAAGAUUCCUAAUGAGUUGUACUGGGAGAUGGUGGGUGGGCGCAAUUAGAAGGGUCGUGUGAAGGGACUUGGCCAAAGUGCAGAGCUCUACUAUGGCAAACGGAUGGGUCGAGUUUUCCGUUCUUUACAACAAUACACGCCGUCUAUCAUUUCUCAGAUGCAAGAUCAGAUGGAACAUAGGGUGCAAGCUCUCCAAACUCAAAUAGAAGUCGAGAUGCAAAGCCGAAUUGACUCUCGAAUGGCUGAAAUAGAUAGGAGAUACAAGGAGAGUAUGGAUGAGAUGAUGAUAGUUUCACAAACAACGACGCAUGUUCCACCAUUCAUCCUCAGCAUCAAGACCCUAGAGAUGACCCGGGUAGUGAUGGAGCAGGCUAGGGUACCCAGGCGAUUGUGUAACUUAGCUUCAAUCUAGCAUAGAUUCACUCUAGCAUAGCUUUUGUUUGGUAUGGAUACCAAAUUAGUUCGGACUAUCUUUUGUACUAUGACAUAAUUAUUAUAUAUAUAUAAAUAAUUUCGUAGGUCGGUAAUUAAUUUUUUUUAAACAGCAACUUCUGCAGGUGUUUUGUCGAUUUAUUAUAAACAAAAAUUCAGGUUU